UACGGAAGGGGGCUAGCGUUGCUCGGAAUUACUGGGCGUAAAGCGCACGUAGGCGGAUUGUUAAGUCGGGGGUGAAAUCCUGGAGCUCAACUCCAGAACUGCCUUCGAUACUGGCGAUCUCGAGUUCGGGAGAGGUGAGUGGAACUGCGAGUGUAGAGGUGAAAUUCGUAGAUAUUCGCAAGAACACCAGUGGCGAAGGCGGCUCACUGGACCGGUAUUGACGCUGAGGAGCGAAAGCGUGGGGAGCAAACAGG
rnacentral:rRNA from 1 species